rnacentral:rRNA from 1 species
AGUGAACGCUGGCGGUAGGCCUAACACAUGCAAGUCGAACGGCAGCACAGGAGAGCUUGCUCUCUGGGUGGCGAGUGGCGGACGGGUGAGGAAUACAUCGGAAUCUACUCUGUCGUGGGGGAUAACGUAGGGAAACUUACGCUAAUACCGCAUACGACCUACGGGUGAAAGCAGGGGACCUUCGGGCCUUGCGCGAUUGAAUGAGCCGAUGUCGGAUUAGCUAGUUGGCGGGGCAAAGGCCCACCAAGGCGACGAUCCGUAGCUGGUCUGAGGGGGUGGUCAGCAACACGGGAACUGGGACACGGUCCAGACUCCUACGGGAGGCAGCAGUGGGGAAUAUUGGACAAUGGGCGCAAGCCUGAUCCAGCCAUACCGCGUGGGUGAAGAAGGCCUUCGGGUUGUAAAGCCCUUUUGUUGGGAAAGAAAUCCAGCUGGCUAAUACCCGGUUGGGAUGACGGUACCCAAAGAAUAAGCACCGGCUAACCUCGUGCCAGCCGCCGCAGUAA